rnacentral:misc_RNA from 1 species
GAUGAAGAACGUAGUGAAAUGCGAUAAGUAGUGUGAAUUGCAGAAUUCAGUGAAUCAUCGAAUCUUUGAACGCACAUUGCGCCCUUUGGUAUUCCAAAGGGCAUGCCUGUUCGAGCGUCAUUUGUACCCUCAAGCUUUGCUUGGUGUUGGCGUCUUGUCUCUAGCUUUGCUGGAGACUCGCCUUAAAGUAAUUGGCAGCCGGCCUACUGGUUUCGGAGCGCAGCACAAGUCGCACUCUCUAUCAGCAAAGGUCUAGCAUCCAUUAAGCCUUUUUUUCAACUUUUGACCUCGGAUCAGGUAGGGAUACCCGCUGAACUUAAGCAUAUCAAUAAGCGGAGGA